rnacentral:rRNA from 1 species
UGGUGAUGAUGGCGAAGAGGUCACACCCGUUCCCAUGCCGAACACGGAAGUUAAGCUCUUCAGCGCCGAUGGUAGUCGGGGGUUUCCCCCUGUGAGAGUAGGACAUCGCCAGGC